rnacentral:lncRNA from 10 species
UGGGGGUGCUCUGAUUCUCAGGCCCCGGCUUGCUCACCACCCAACUCAUACCCGCCUCAUCGGCUGUUCACACGUGCACUUCCUGAACUACCACAUUCUACAGUGAUAAUAAUGACUGAGUUCUGUCUUAUUCGGUAAAGCUCUUGGGUACAGUGGUGAUCAUGUUACACACAUAUCAAGUGGUGUGGGAAAAAAGCAUCCAGAAGGCAAUUUCAAGCAUGCAAAAUGGGAUCACUGACAUGGAAAAUCAGUGACAUCUGAUUCCCAUUGUGCCAGCCUUCUGUAAAUAUCUGAUUAAUUAGUGCUGCAGAGAUCUAGGGGAGGCCUUUAUCUGAAGAGCAGUUCAACCAUUAGCAAAGGAAACUUCCUUGUGCACCAGCGGCUCAGAUAACAAGUUGGCUACCUUGUUGCCCCAGGGCACCUGUCUUGGGGAUAACCAAGAAUGUGGAUGGUGAUGGCCAUGGUGCAAGACUCAGCUUCAGUGGGGGCUGCUCCCAGGAUGUCGGGCUCACGGACCCCUCUCAUUGAUGCCAGUCUCAGGUGGCUCUAUCCCUGGAAGAACAUUCAGGUCAUUUUUGCAUCAUUUGAUCCUUGAAACUAUACUAAGAAGGGGUCAGAGUGAUAUCACCGUUUUCUCAAAUGUGAGAAUGAACACUGGCAAGAUAAAGUGACUUAUUCAAACGUACCCAGAGAGCUGAUGAGAAAGUCAAGCCUAGGAAGCAUGAAAAUGUGACUAUGCUGGCUUUCGGGCAAAGGGUGGCACCCCCACCUCAAGGCCAUGACCAACCAAUGACAGUGGGACUGAAUGCUCAGAAGUUAUUCACAAUUUUGAAUCAUUUUAGAAGAUGCCCUUGAAAGAAUGGAAGCAUGGACAAGACUUUUUAAAAAUAAAAAAC